rnacentral:rRNA from 1 species
UACGGGGGGGGCAAGCGUUGUUCGGAAUUACUGGGCGUAAAGGGCGCGUAGGCGGCCCUCUAAGUCAGACGUGAAAUCCCUCGGCUCAACCGGGGAACUGCGUCUGAUACUGGAGGGCUUGAAUCCGGGAGAGGGAUGCAGAAUUCCAGGUGUAGCGGUGAAAUGCGUAGAUAUCUGGAGGAAUACCGGUGGCGAAGGCGGCAUCCUGGACCGGCAUUGACGCUGAGUGAGCGAAAGCCAGGGGAGCAAACGGG